rnacentral:lncRNA from 1 species
AUUUCUCCACGCAAUUUCUAUUGUUUUAUUAAUAUGAAUCAUAUUAUGUCUUAUUAACCUUUGUAUACCAGCACUCAGUGCCCGACUCAGCCGGCACUCAGAAAAUGUGAAAUGCAUAAAAAGGGAAUCUAGUCUUUCAUUUAUUCUUUAAAAGAGAAGAUAUAAUAAGUUGCAAUGCAGACUCUUAAGUUUUUAGUUACGUUUUUAUAGUUAAGUAGGAGUAGAUACAGAUUUAACGUAGGAGUAUAGUAGUCCAGGAUAACAGCAGUAACAGCGUUUUAACUCAAAGGAGGUGGGGAAAUAACCUCACAUUUCAACUUGAGCUCUAAUGGUCCUUUUCCCCAUGAGGGGUAUGAAGCUGGGAGCUGUAAGGCCAAUCGUCGGGAUGGCAGGUGCAGGGCAGCCAAUCAUACUGCAGAGGUCCUGCCGACGGCCCGCCCCUCGCCUCUCGCCGUUGGGUCCGGGCGCCAGCUACACACCCCUUUUGUAGCUCUGGCUUGCCGAGGCUGCAAUGUCCGCCUCAAAGUGCUGGAUCUGAAACCCGGUUGAAUGCUGCCAUGACUGCCAAAGAUUAUCCGUCAUUGUGGGGCUUUGGAACAACGAAAACAUUUAAAAUUCCCAUUGAACAUUUGGAUUUCAAAUAUAUUGAAAAAUGUUCAGAUGUUAAAUACCUGGAAAAAAUUCUUUGUGUGCUCAGGUAAGCAUUUAAAAACCAUAUCAUGCUUUAUUAUGCCAGUUUUAACUAUGUUGUGGCCUUCUAAAAGUUAAAGCAACAAUAAAAAUAUCAAGGAAAGUUUUCAAAUAUUGAGAUGAUUGUUUUUGCCUAUGGUGGUUUC